CCAGAUGGAAUAGCGCCAGAACCGGCUGACUUAAGCCGGUUGACGAGGAUGGAGUAAUCGAAAGUUCGGCGGAUGCUCCACGGUAUGCACUACCGAAAAAGCUCCCUCAAAUACCGGAGGCGACUUCGGGGACAAAGGGGAUCAGGUGCCCAG
rnacentral:ncRNA from 2 species